rnacentral:rRNA from 1 species
UGUAUCUUAGGCAAAUCCGGGGUACUCUAUGCUGAGAUCUGAUAGCAAGCUGUACUUGUACAGCGAAGUGGUUGAUGCCAUGCUUCCAGGAAAAGUCUCUAAGCUUCAGUUACACAGGAAUCGUACCCGAAACCGACACAGGUGGUCAGGUCGAGUAGACCAAGGCGCUUGAGAGAACUCUGCUGAAGGAACUAGGCAAAAUGGUACCGUAACUUCGGGAGAAGGUACGCUGUUGUUGGUGAUGGAACUCGCUUCCUGAGCUGACGACAGCCGCAGAAACCAGGCCGCUGCAACUGUUUAUUAAAAACAUAGCACUCUGCAAACACGAAAGUGGACGUAUAGGGUGUGAUGCCUGCCCGGUGCUGGAAGGUUAAUUGAUGGGGUUAGCGUAAGCGAAGCUCUUGAUCGAAGCCCCAGUAAACGGCGGCCGUAACUAUAACGGUCCUAAGGUAGCGAAAUUCCUUGUCGGGUAAGUUCCGACCUGCACGAAUGGCAUAAUGAUGGCGGCGCUGUCUCCAGCAGAGGCUCAGUGAAAUCGAAAUCGCUGUGAAGAUGCAGUGUACCCGCGGCUAGACGGAAAGACCCCGUGAACCUUUACUGCAGCUUGACACUGAACUUUGACCUUACUUGUGUAGGAUAGGUGGGAGGCUUUGAAGCUGGAACGCUAGUUCCAGUGGAGCCGUCCUUGAAAUACCACCCUGGUAAUGUUGAGGUUCUAACUCUGUCCCGUGAUCCGGGACGAGGACCGUGUCUGGUGGGUAGUUUGACUGGGGCGGUCUCCUCCUAAAGAGUAACGGAGGAGUACGAAGGUGCGCUCAGCGUGGUCGGAAAUCACGCGUAGAGUAUAAAGGCAAAAGCGCGCUUAACUGCGAGACCCACAAGUCGAGCAGGUACGAAAGUAGGUCUUAGUGAUCCGGUGGUUCUGUAUGGAAGGGCCAUCGCUCAACGGAUAAAAGGUACUCUGGGGAUAACAGGCUGAUACCGCCCAAGAGUUCAUAUCGACGGCGGUGUUUGGCACCUCGAUGUCGGCUCAUCUCAUCCUGGGGCUGAAGCAGGUCCCAAGGGUAUGGCUGUUCGCCAUUUAAAGAGGUACGCGAGCUGGGUUUAGAACGUCGUGAGACAGUUCGGUCCCUAUCUACCGUGGGCGCUGGAAAUUUGAGAGGAUCUGCUCCUAGUACGAGAGGACCAGAGUGGACGAACCUCUGGUGUACCGGUUGUGACGCCAGUCGCAUCGCCGGGUAGCUAUGUUCGGAAGGGAUAACCGCUGAAAGCAUCUAAGCGGGAAGCCUACCUCAAGAUAAGAUUUCCCUAGGACUUUAUGUCCUCUAAAGAGCCGUUCGAGACUAGGACGUUGAUAGGUUGGAUGUGGAAGCAUAGUGAUAUGUGAAGCUGACCAAUACUAAUUGCUCGUGAGGCUUGACUAU